rnacentral:sRNA from 1 species
GACCGCUGCCGUUCCGGCAGCCAAGGCCAGACGGACAGCCGGGUCGAAUGCCGA